GACGAACCGUGCGAACGUUGUUCGGAUUCACUGGGCUUAAAGGGCGCGUAGGCGGAUUACCAAGUCGGGGGUGAAAUCUUUCGGCUCAACCGGAAAAUAGCCUUCGAUACUGGUAGUCUUGAGGGAGGUAGGGGCAGGUGGAACUUCUGGUGGAGCGGUGAAAUGCGUAGAUAUCAGAAGGAACGCCGGUGGCGAAAGCGACCUGCUGGAUCUCCUCUGACGCUGAGGCGCGAAAGCUAGGGGAGCAAACGGGAUUAGAUACCCCGGUAGUCCUAGCCCUAAACGAUGGGUACUAGGUAGUAGACUUGACAUGGGUUUACUGCCGAAGCAAAAGUGGUAAGUACCCCGCCUGGGGAGUAUGGUCGCAAGGCUGAA
rnacentral:rRNA from 1 species